AGUGAACGCUGGCGGUAGGCCUAACACAUGCAAGUCGAACGGCAGCACAGUAAGAGCUUGCUCUUACGGGUGGCGAGUGGCGGACGGGUGAGGAAUACAUCGGAAUCUAAUUUUUCGUGGGGGAUAACGUAGGGAAACUUACGCUAAUACCGCAUACGACCUACGGGUGAAAGCAGGGGAUCUUCGGACCUUGCGCGAUUGAAUGAGCCGAUGUCGGAUUAGCUAGUUGGCGGGGUAAAGGCCCACCAAGGCGACGAUCCGUAGCUGGUCUGAGAGGAUGAUCAGCCACACUGGAACUGAGACACGGUCCAGACUCCUAAGGGAGGCAGCAGUGGGGAAUAUUGGACAAUGGGCGCAAGCCUGAUCCAGACAUACCGCGUGGGUGAAGAAGGCCUUCGGGUUGUAAAGCCCUUUUGUUGGGAAAGAAAAGCAGCAGGUGAAUACCCCGCUGUUCUGACGGUACCCAAAGAAUAAGCACCGGCUAACUUCGUG
rnacentral:rRNA from 1 species